UGGAAUUGUUCUAGUUCCAGGGUGGUGGGGGCAGGACUGGGUUGUGAGGGACUCAUGGUGCUUACAGAAGGACUGAAAGACAACCACACAGUGGUCGACCUCAGGAUGGCCAUCAAUCACAUUGGCGAUGUGGGAGCAGGCUGUCUGGCGGAUCUACUGCGGACCAAUCAUACACUUAAAGAUAUCAGGCUCCGUGACAACUAGAUUACUGAUAAGGGAGCAUUACUCUUCCUGGAAGCACUGACUAAGAAUACCACUCUGGAACAUCUCUGG